rnacentral:misc_RNA from 1 species
GGAUGAAGAACGCAGCGAAAUGCGAUAAGUAAUGUGAAUUGCAGAAUUCAGUGAAUCAUCGAAUCUUUGAACGCACAUUGCGCCCGCCAGUAUUCUGGCGGGCAUGCCUGUUCGAGCGUCAUUACAACCCUCAGGCCCCCGGGCCUGGCGUUGGGGAUCGGCGGAAGCCCCCUGCGGGCACAACGCCGUCCCCCAAAUACAGUGGCGGUCCCGCCGCAGCUUCCAUUGCGUAGUAGCUAACACCUCGCAACUGGAGAGCGGCGCGGCCACGCCGUAAAACACCCAACUUCUGAAUGUUGACCUCGAAUCAGGUAGGAAUACCCGCUGAACUUAAGCAUAUCAAUAAGCGGAGGA